UAGGGAGACCUAAUCCAUUUAGAAAUCGAAAACAAUGAAAAUUGUCAAUAGAAACUAAAUUGGUCUAACCUAGGUCGUUCGAGAUUGGUAGACAUCUUUCAAAGUAUUAUUCGGCUUCGUUCAAAACCAUAUAUAAUAAAUGGAAAAAGACGGCACCUAAUUGUCAAAGUUAGACUGCUGGAUGAAGUUCCAGCCAGAACCUUGAAAACUGCAUAAGAGAACAAGAAAAAGCAGGCAGACACAGACAUUUAGAUGGAUGUGGAAGCAAAAGAAAUUGU
rnacentral:misc_RNA from 1 species